AGAGAUCCCACAGGGGGAAGUGAGAUGGGGAAGAGAGAUCCCACAGGAGGAAGGGAGAUGGGGAAGAAAGAUCCCACAGGAGGAAGGGAGAUGGGGAAGAGAGAUCCCACAGGAGGAAGGGGGAUGGGAGAGAGAGAUACCACCAGAGGAAGGGGGAUGGGGAUGAGAGAUCCCACAGGAUGAAAGUGGAUGGGGGAGAGAAAUCCCACAGAAGGAAGGGGAAUGGGGAAAAGAGAUCCCAUAGGAUGAUGGGGCAUGGGGAAGAGAGAUGAGACAGGAGGAAGUGGGUGGGGAAGUGAGAUCAUACAGGAGGUUGGGGGAUGAGUAGGAGAGAUCCCAUUGGAGGAAGGGGGAUGGGGAAGAGAGAUCACAUAGGAUGAUGGGGCAUGGGGAAGAGAGAUGAGACAGGAGGAAGUGGGUGGGCAAGUGAGAUCAAACAGGAGGUUGGGGGAUGAGUAGGAGAGAUCCCAUUGGAGGAAGGGGGAUGCUGAGGAGAGAUCCAACAGUUGGAAGGACGGGGGAGUGGGAACAGAGAGCCCAGAGGAUGAAAGGGGGAUGGGAAAGCGAGAUCUCACAGGAGGAUUGCUACCUGUGCCACGUGCUAGUGAGGCUAGAAAUAGGAAGAUAAUGCAGCUAAAUACGUGGCUGAGGGGAUGGUGCAUGAGGGACCGGUUCAUGUUUCUGGACAAUUGGGAUUUCUUCCAGGGGAGGUGGGACCAGUUCGAACUGGACAGUUUGCACCUGAACUGGAGGGGACUAACAUCCUUGUCGGUAGGUUAGCAAGUUCUGCUCCGGGGGUUUUAAACAAGGUUGCAGGGGGAGGGGAACCAGAGUAUUAGAGCAGAUAGUGAGGUGGUGGAGGAUAAGGGUCAUGCGAGGACUGCUUGUAUAGACAGAUAUCAAUGGUUUGUAUGUGAUAGAAAUGUUCUCAGGUGCAUCUAUUUCAAUGCAAGGAGUAUUGCAGGUAAGGCAGAUGAGUUUAGAUCGUGGAUUGGCACGAUGAUAUCGACAUUAUUGCUAUUAGUAAGACUUGGUUUGCAGGAGGGGCAGGACUGGCAGCUUCAUGUUCCGUGUUUCCAUUGUUUCAGAUGUUUCAGGGAUGAAAGGGGGCGGAGUGGCAUUACCAGUCAGGGGAAUAUCACAGCUGUGCGUAGACGGGACAGCCCGGAGGGUUCGUCUACAGAGGCCAUAUGGGUGGAGCUGAGGAACGGGAAAGGUGUGACCACACUAAUAGGGUUGUAUUAUAGACCGCCCAGUAGUCAGAGAGAAUUCGAGGAGCAAAUCUGUAGAGAGGUAGCACACCAAAUUAAGAAACAGAAAGUCGUAAUCGUAGGGGAUUUUAACUUCCCACAUAUUGACGGGGACUCCCAUUCUGAGAAAGGGUUAGAUGGCGUGGAGUUUGUCAAAUGUGUCAGAAAAGUUUUCUAAAUCAAUAUAUUGAGGUAUCAACGAGAGAGGGUGCAGUACCUGAUCUCCUAUUAAGUAACCAGACAGGUCAGGUGACAGAAGUAUGUGUCGGUGAACAUUUUGGGUCCAGUGACCAUAAUGUCAUUAGUUUCAAGAUAAUUAUGCAUAAGGAUAGGACUGGUCCGCCAGUUAAGGUUCUGAAUUGGAGAAGGGCCAAUUUUGUGGAAAUGAGAGAGGAUCUGGGAAGAGUGGAUUGGGAUAAGUUGUUUUCUGGCAAGGAUGUGUUCAGUAAAUGGAACGCCUUCAAGGGUGAAAUUUUGAGAGUGCAGAGUUUGCAUAUUCCUGCCAGGAUUAAAGGCAAAGUUAACAGGCAGAGGGAGCCUUGGUUUUCAAGGGAUAUUGGCGAUCUGCUUAAGUAGGUGUUUAGCAGCUAUAGGAAACAAGGAACAAAUGAGGUACUUGAAGAGUAUAGAAAAUGUAAGCAAAUACUAAAGAAGGAAAUCAGGAAGGCAAAAAGAAGACAUGAGGAUGCUUUGGCAGAUAAUGAGAAGGUAAACCCGAAGGGUUUCUACGAGUAAAUUAAGAGUAAAAGGAUAGUAAAGGACAAAAUUGGUCCCCUAGAAGAUCAGAGUGGUCGUCAGUGUGUGGAGCCUCACGAGAUGGGGGAGAUCUUAAACAGUUUUUUUGCGUCAGUGUUUACUCAGGAAACUGGCAUAUGGAAUUAAGGGAAACAAACAGUAGUGUCAUGGAACAUAUAGAGAUUAAAGAGGAGAAGCUGCUUGCUGCCUUACAGUGAAUAAAGGUAGAUAAAUCCCCCGGGCUUGACAUGAUAUUUUCUCGGACCUUGAGAGAGACUUGUGUAGAAAUUGCAGGGGCCCUGGCAGAAAUAUUUAAAAUGUCCUCAGCCAGGGGUGCGGUGCCGGAGGAUUGGAGGGUAGCUCAUGUUGUUCCGUUGUUUGAAAAAGGCUCCAAAAGUACACCAGGUAAUUACAGGCCAGUGAGCCUGACAUCAGUAGUAGGUAAAUUAUUGGAAGGUGUUCUGAGAGAUCAGAUAUACAAGGAUUUGGACAGCCAAGGGCUGAUAAAAGAUAGUCAGCAUGGCUUUGUGUGUGGUAGACCAUGUUUAAUGAAUCCUGUAGUGUUUUUCGAGGAGGUUACCAAGAAUGCAUAUGAAGGAAAGGCUGUGGAUGUUGUCUACAUUGACUUUUGUAAGGCCUUUGACAAGGUCCCACAUAAGAGGUUAGUUCUAAACAUCCAGUCACUAGGUAUCCAUGGAGAGGUUGUAAACUGGAUUUGAAUUGACUGUGUGGGAGAAGACAGAGAGUGGUAGUGGAUGAUUGCUUCUCAGACUGGAGGCCUGUGACUAUUGGUGUGUCUCAGGGAUCUGUGCUGGGACCAUCGUUGCUUGUUGUCCAUAUCAAUGAUCUAGAUGAUGAUGUGAUAAAUUGGAUCAGCAGGUUUGCGGAUGACACUAAGAUAGAGGCGUUGUGGACAGCGAGGAAGGCUUUCAAAGCUUGCGGAGGGAUCUGAACCAACUGGAAGAAUAGGCCAGAAAAUGGCAGAUGGAAUUUAAUGCAGACAAGUGUGAGGUGUUCCAUUUUGGAAGGACAAAUCAAGAAGAUGAAGAAAACUACUAGCGUGAAGACAACGCAAGUUGGAACAGAAUCAAGGCCCGCUGCUGCCAGAGAACCGGGGCUCAGGUACAUUUUACGUGCGGUGAUCCAGAACAGGAAACUGCGGCAACAUCGACCAUUUCCAAAGAAAAAGACCAACAAGAACUGCGCAAACGCGAGCAACCGGAACUACAAAUCCCAGUUACGAUUGAAACCGGAAGUGAAAGUGAAUCUGCGGCAUAUUCAGAUUCUCUGGAUAAAUCAGACGAAGAUGGAGGUAAAAGUUUUUCUGGAAAUAUAGAAAAAACUUUGAUGCAAAUAAUGUGUAAAUUAGAAAAAAAUUAAACGCAUUAAAAGAAAUCAAAAAAAGAUAAAUAUGGAGAUUAUGUUUGAUAAAGUGAUAAAAAGACAGGACAAAAUGGAAAAGAGAAUUAUAGUCUUGGAAGCCACAAUGGAAGACAUGGUUGAAAGAAUGAAUAAAAUGGAAGAUAAUAUAUCUGCCUGGACAUUAGAAAGAAAACAAUUGUUGGAAAAAGUGGAUAAGCUAGAAAAUUUUAGCAGACGAAACAAUAUUAAGAUUGUUGGACUUAAAGAAGAUAUAGAAGGAGAGGAUCCAAUAAUUUUUUUUUCAAAAAUGGAUCCCUGAAAACUUGGAAAUGGAAGAAGAAACUCUAAUUGAAAUUGAAAGGGCUCAUAGAGCCUUAAGGUCAAGACCUUAAACUGAUCAAAAUCCAUGAUCGAUUUUGAUAAAAUGCUUAAGAUACUAAGAUAAAGAAAAGAUCCUGAGGGCGGCUGCCCAAUGUGCCAGAAAGAGUAAAGGGACAUUGGUGAUAGAAGGGAAAGCAAUUCUUUUCUAUCCUGAUAUAAGUUAUGACCUUUUGAAGGGAAAGAAGGAAUUUAACCCUGUGAAAAAAGUUUUAUGCGAAAAGGGUUAUAAAUUCAUAAUGCGUCACCCAUCAACACUGAAAAUUUUUUUGGAGGAUGGAAAAAUAUUUUUUACCGAUUAUUGAGAAGCGGAGGAAUUCGCACGAAAACUCCUAGUUAUUCGCUAACUACACAUAGAGAUUUCCAAGCGUAAUGGAUUAAAGAUGAAGACAGAGACAGUGAAUGGAAUUGAUGGACAUUUAAGGAUGAUACAGGGGGCGAAAGCCAAAAUUUGAGAAAUAUUAAUUGCGAGUAGUAUUUUUUUCUUUUUCUUUCUUCUCAUAUAUAUACUUUUUUUGUCAUGGGGGAGCUGGAGGAGCUUUGGAUCGAUUGCUACGGGAUUCACGUGUGUAAUCAUGGCGAUUGCCAUGACCCGUACAACAGAGGGGGGUAAUGUUGUGUUCUUUUUUAUCCACAACAUUAGUAGGGGGGUAUUUUGUUUUUUACUUUACAAUCUAUUUUUCUUCUAUUUCUUUUGGCCUGGAUGAUCAGUGGGGCGCACAUAGCAACAUGGAGAAUUUUUAAAAAGAUUCCCCAAGGUACCACGAAAGUUGAAAGAUUAGGUAUUGUUAUAGAUUGGAGUAACCCAAUUAAAAAUAAUGACUAAUUUACAAAAUUUUCAAAGUUUUAAUGUUAAUGGGCAUAAUGGACCGGUGAAAAGAAAAAGAAUCUUAACACACAUUAACAAAAUGAAAACAGAUAUACCUUUUUUACAAGAAACAAACUUAAUAGAGAAAGAACAUCAGAAAUUAAAAAGAGAUUGGGUUGGAAAUGUUAUUGCAGCUUCAUUUAACUCAUAGGGGAGAAGAGCUGCAAUUUUGGUUAAUAAAAAUUUACCAAUUAAAAUACAAAAUGUAUUAAUUGAUUCGGCGGGGAGAUAUUUAAUUAUACAUUGUCAAAUUUUUUCAAGAACUAUGGACUCUUAUGAAUAUUUAUGCACCACAUGAAAAUGAUGUAAAGUUUAUACGAGGUCUGUUUGAAUUUGGUUAACGCACAUGACAAAAUAUUAAUAGGUGGAGAUUUUAACUUUUGUCUAGGUCUAGUUUUAGAUAGAUCAACAAAGGUUGUCACAAAAUCAAAAGUAGCAAAAUUAACUUUAAUAUUGAUGAAAGAUUGAUAUAUGGAGAAGAAUUAACACAAAAGUAAGAGAUUAUUCAUUUCAUUCAAAUAGACAUAAAACAUUCAAGAAUAGAUUUUUUCCUAUUAACGAAUAUUCAAGACAGUGAAAAAUAUGGAAUAUAAAGGAAGAAUAUUGUCAGAUCAUUGAUAAUGACAAUGAUAAUGAUAGAUAAAGAGGAAUCAAUUUAUAGAUGGAGAUUUAAUUCAAUAUUAAUAAAACAUCAAGAUUUUUGUGAUUUUAUGAAAAAGCAUAUUGAGUUUUUUUUAGAUACAAAUUCACAUUCAGUUGAUUAUAAAUUUAUAUUGUGGGAAGCAAUGAAGGCAUAUUUGAGAGGUCAGAUAAUAAGAUACUAAUAAAAUUAAGAAGGAAUAUAUGAUAGAAAUUGAUCAAUUGGAAAAAGAGUUUACAAAAUUAGAAUAAGAAUCUCAAAGAUAUAUGACAGAAGAAAAACGAAGACAACUUGUUAAUAAGAAGUUACAAUAUAAUACACUUUAGAUAUAUCGAACAGAAAAAGCAAUUAUGAGAGCAAAACAGAGAUAUUAUGAACUAGGUGAAAGAUCACAUAAGGUUCUUGCUUGGCAGUUAAAAACAGACCAGACUUCUAAAACGAUAAAUGCAAUUCGAACAACAGUAAAUAAAAUUACUUAUAAACCUUUAGAAAUUAAUGAAACCUUUAAGAAUUUUUAUUCUGAACUGUAUAAAUCAGAACCACAAAAUGAUAAUGUCAAGAUAGGAAGGUUUUUAUCACAAAUAACUCUUACAAAAUUGAAUUCAGAAGAACAUAAGGGAUUAGAUAUGCCUUUUACAUUAGAAGAGGUUGAAGAAGCUCAAUGAUCAUUUCAAAGUAAUAAAGCCCCAGGAGAAGAUGGUUUUCCGCCUGAAUUUUAUAAAAAGUUUAAAGAUUUAUUAAUUCCUCCUUUUAUGGAGUUAAUACACCAAGUGGAAAGAAUGCUUAAACUUCCAGAAUCUUUUUCAACAGCUAUUUUAAUAGUAUUGCCAAAAAAGAUAAUCUUUUAAAGCCAACAUCAUAUAGACCUAUUUCUUUGUUAAACACUGACUAUAAAAUAAUAGCAAAAAUCUUACCUAACAGAUUAUCUAAAUACUUACCAAAAUUAAUACACAUGGAUCAAACAGGAUUUAUUAAAAAUAGACAAUCGGCAGAUAAUGAAACUCAGUUAUUUAGCAUAAUUCAUUUGGAACAAAAGGGGGAGGAAAUGAGUGUGGCAGUUGCUUAAGAUGCAGAAAAAGCAUUUGAUACAUUGGAAUGGGAUUUUUUAUUUAAGGUAUUGGAAAAAUAUGGAUUAGGAGUAUCCUUUAUAAAAUGGAUUAAAACAUUAAAUACUAAUCCCAAAGCUAAAGUAGUGACAAAUGGUCAAAUGUCAACACCAUUUCAGUUAACAAGGUCAACUAGGCAAGGUUGUCCAUUAUCACCUGCUUUAUUUGUGUUGGCGAUAGAACCAUUAGCUGAAUUAAUUAGAGUGGACCCAGAUAUUAAGCGUUUCUGAGUUAACCAGGAGGAAUACAAGAUUAACUUAUUUGCUGAUGAUGUUCUGUUUUAUUUAACAAACCCAUUGUACUCGUUGCGUAAAUUAUCCUCUAGAUUAGAAGAAUAUGGAAAAAUAUCAGGCUACAAAUUAAAUUGGGAUAAAAGUGAAAUUUUACCUCUCAGUAAAGGAGAUUAUAGUCAAUGUCGAUUAAUAACUCAAUUUAGAUGGCCGAUAAACAGGAUAAAAUAUUUAGGUAUAAGAGUUGAUAAUGAUAUAAAGAACAUAUAAAUUAAAUUAUUUACCAUUAUUGAAGAAAGUUCAAGAAGAUCUUGAUAAAUGGAUGAUAUUACCAAUAAAAUUAGUAGGUAGAGUAAAUACCAUAAAAAUGAAUAUAUUCCCUAGAUUACAAUACUUAUUUCAAUCACUACCAAUACAACUACCCUAGAAGUUUUUUCAAGAGUUAAAUAAAUAUGUGAGGAAGUUCGUUUGGAAAGGUAAGAUGUCAAGAUUAUCGUUGGAAAUUUGACAUGGAAAUUUGAUCUAGGAGGGUUACAACUUCCAAAUUUUAUUAUAAAGCAAAUCAACUUAGAUUUAUUGCAUCUUUUUUUGAGAAAGAUAGACUGGCAUGGAUUAGAAUAGAACUGGAUUAAAUGGGAGAAAAUACACCAUAAGAUUUUAUAUAUAAAUGGGAAUCUAAAUGGAUACGGGAAAAGAAAGAAUCUCCUAUGUUAAAACAUUUGAUUGAUUUCUGGAAUAAGAUAAAUGUUGAUGAUGAGAUAAAGAACUCUUUAUUAGCAAAGAGAUCUUUAAUUCAAAAUAGACUUAUUCCUUUUACAAUGGAUAAUCAAGUUUUAUGUAAUUGGUUUCAGAAAGGGAUUAGAUAUAUAGAAGAUUGUUUUGAAGGAGGUAUAUUAAUGUCAUUUGAUCAAUUAAAGAAUAAAUACAAAAUAUCAAACAACACUCUUUUUUGUUACUUCCAAUUAAGGGCUUAUUCAAGAGAAAAAUUGGGUCAAACAAAGUUAUUGCCGAAAUCUAAUGAAAUAGACACUUUAAUUCAAAAAGGAAAAACUAAAAAAAUUAUUUAUUGUAUGGAUAGUUUGAUUCAAAAACAGGCAAUUAAACAAGGAAUCCAUAAGUCAAGACAAAAAUGGGAAAUUGAAUUGAAUAUUAAAAUUGAAGAAACAAAUUGGUCAAGACUAUGUCUUGAUAUUUAGACAAAUACAAUAAAUGGCCGGUUAAGAUUGGUGCAAUAUAAUUUUUUACAUUAAUUAUAUAUUACACCACAAAAAAUAAAUAAAUUAAACCCAAAUUUAUCUGAACAGUGUUUCCGAUGUAACCAAGAAAUUGGUACUUUUUUACAUGCUACUUGGUCUUGUUCUAAAAUUCAACCUUUUUGAACAAAUUUCAGAGUUUUACUGGAACAAAUUAUUGGAAGACAACUUCCACAUAACCCAAUAUUAUUUUUAUUCGGCGAUAUUGAAGGGAUAAAACCGAAACCCAAAUUGAAUAAAUAUCAGAAAGAAUUCAUAAAAAUUGCACUGUCAGUAGCCAAAAAGUCUAUUGCAGUUACUUGGAAAUUGGAUUCAUACUUAAGUAUAGAUCGUUGGAAGAAUGAAAUUUCCAGCUGUUUUCCACUUGAAAAAAUUACUUAUAAUUUAAGAGAUAAAUAUGAAGCAUUUUUGAAAAUUUGGCGCCCUUAUUUACAAAAGACAGGAUUAACUAUAUAGGUGCUCCGAAGAUAAAAUAAUUGGUUAUUUGGGGAAAGAAAUAAAUAUAUGUACUAAAGUUACUAUGAACUCCGGGGAGCAUGUGGGGAUGUUCCGAUAUCCAGGCAUUCUUUCUUUCUUUUUUUUCUUUUUCUUUUCUUCUAUAGGGAUGUUAGGGGGGGGGGUUAAGGGGAGGGGGGGAAGGGUAGAUAUUUUUUUUCUUUCUGUAAUCAUUUGAAAACUCAAUAUUUUUUUAAAAAAACAAAACACAGUCCGAGAUAUAUAUAUAUAUGGGAGAAUGGGUUUGGGCCGGAGGGUAGGGGUCGCCUGGGGUGUAGGAGGUGGUAUAGUUCCAUCUGUUGAAGUCUGCUCUUUCGUGUCCCCAGGAAAAUACCUCCCUGUUUUGAAAGGACUCUGCUUAUUGCUGAGAAUAUAGUAACAAUCACCAUCACUCUCCUGGUACUGCCCAUCAACACCGCUUGGCUCUGGGUUACUGUCUGCCUGCCUGGUCAACCCCUUCCUCAGCAAAUCUCUGGGAUUUCUCACAAAAUUCUGCAGGUACUCAGCAGGUCAGGCAACAUCUAUGGAGGAGAAUAAACAAUCAACGUUUCAGGCCAAGGACCUUCAUCGGACUGGAAAUGAGGGGACAGAAAUUCGAGAUAUUGUCACAUUACUUUCUAUGCCUUGUGGUCCUGAUUUGAAAUGUUGACUGUUUAUUCCUCUCCAUGGAUGCUGCCUGACCUGCUGAAUUCUGCCAAUAUUUUGUGUGUCUUUUUGUUGGCCGAAACUUUCAGCAUUUGCAGAAUGUCUUGUCGUCUGGAGUAACUCGCUAUUUUAAUGUGCAUCAUAAUCUGUUAGAGGAGCAGGAGCAGACGGUAACUGUACUCCUUCCACGUGUGACUGUGUUUUCCCCAGAGAUGUUAACUCUCUCUCUCUCAUCUCUCUGGUCAGUUUUCACAAAUAUUUGGAGAAUUGCCAUUAUUGAAUUAAACCCAGACGGAGAAUCCGCAGAGUAUUUAUAAAUUAAAAUGAUUUUGUGGACAGGAGUUCUCAGUUUUUGCUGCUCUGUAACAAAAAAAAAUAACAGGAGGCUCAAACAUUAAUUGGGGUUUAAAACAGAACACUGUUUUGUUUUUAAACUGAGAUGAACACUUUCAAACAUCUUGGGCCGAUCCACUGAACACGUGUCAUGGCCGGAUCCACCAGAACCCGUCCACCCACAGUCACACAAUGUCCAUUUCCGCUCUCCAUGGAUUGUACACUGGGCCACGAUUCUCCAGGGUAUCUACUCUCUGCAUUGCAGGCAAUUCCCUUUUAGGAACCAAUCUUGUGUCUUGGACCGGGAGUGAUGAGUCUACGGAAUGGGAAGCCAGGUUGAGCAGACAGCGCCCACUGCUUUGGUCCUCCUACCGCUGGUGGCGCUGUGGUGAGUAAUGGACAAGUGUUCCAGCAGUGUGGGCUGAAACAUUUCUGCUGACGAUGAGACUUCUAUUCCUCUCGUCACUGGAUUAUACAGGUUUCUCAGUCACAACUGAUUCUCACCGUCUCCUUUCAGGUUAACAUCGCCUGGCAUUGACACCAAUGGCAAUAUAUGAUUUGUGUCUAUGCAGAAACACUCUGACAACCUGAACAAUGCAAUGUCACACAUAGCAUCGUGACAUCUUAUCCUGAACCACUAUAAUUUUUCCGGCAGGACUUUAAAACUAUUAAUAGCACCAAAACUUGGUUAAGAUUUCUUUGAGCAUAUCACCUGGCUAUUAUCAGAUAGUUAGUUAUAUGACACCUUGUUAAACACAAUGUUGACACGCCAUAUAUCCAAAACAGUCAGUUCGGAAAAAAUUGUCAAUAUAAUUAAAACAGAAUGAUGGAAUUAUUCAACAAGACGAGAGUAUGUUAAUAUUUCAUGUGGAGGACCCUGUAUCAGAGCUGAGCCUGUGUGCAGGAGCCAUGUAUCUGUUCUCUAUCAGCAUUGUAUUCUGCGUUGUGUAUUUAUGAUGCUUUUUUUAUGGUAACAAGUCGGAUCAGUGGGAGUGUGAUAAAUGCAAAGGGAAUCAGUUACAUAGUUUGCUUUUUCCAUGCAGUAUACAGCUGGGGACUGACCGAUGUCAUAUAUUUUGUUAUUAUUAACUCAAAUACGAUGAAUUUAUGUUUGGGUACAGAUCAGUUUCAUCACUUCAAGAUUGUAUGUUUACUGAUUGCUAAUAAAGGAUGGAAUACAUA